rnacentral:rRNA from 1 species
AGCGUCAGCGGCGCUUGCUCGGCGGGAUCGUGCGUCGUCUCGGAUCGGAUUCUUCGGUCCUGGGAUGACGUUAAUCUUUCCAUGCCUUGUUUCGGCGUCGUCGUCGUGCACUUCUUCCCUAGUAGAACGUCGCGACCCGUUGGGUGCCGGUCUACGGUACGAGCGGGUUAGACUGUCGCGUCGCUUAGGCGCACGCGGCAGACCCUCGUUAAUCCGGCCGGCUGCCCGGCGGUCGAACUUUUAUAAGGUAUCUUGCCGCAAUUGAACUAAAUGCGUCGCGGCCCGUCGCAAGCGAGGUCAGUUAAGCGUUCAUCGCGCGCGCGGAGUUACGGACCCGGUGCCGUACCCGCGGCUGGCCGGCUGUUGGCAGACGGAGUCCUUCGACGGGCAAUACACACAAACGAUACCGGUCUGCGACGCUACUGCUUUGGGUACUCUCAGGACCCGUCUUGAAACACGGACCAAGGAGUCUAACAUGUGCGCGAGUCAUUGGGACUGCGAAGCCUAAAGGCGAAAUGAAAGUGAAGGUCGCGCCAACCAAGGUCGACCGAGGGAGGAUGGGCCGCGUUUGCGCGCGGCUCCGCACUCCCGGGGCGUCUCGUUCUCAUUGCGAGAAGAGGCGCACCCAGAGCGUACACGUUGGGACCCGAAAGAUGGUGAACUAUGCCUGGUCAGGACGAAGUCAGGGGAAACCCUGAUGGAGGUCCGUAGCGAUUCUGACGUGCAAAUCGAUCGUCGGAACUGGGUAUAGGGGCGAAAGACUAAUCGAACCAUCUAGUAGCUGGUUCCCUCCGAAGUUUCCCUCAGGAUAGCUGGCACUCGUUCGUUUAUAAUUGAACGUAAAGGAGUCUCAUCUGGUAAAGCGAAUGAUUAGAGGCCUUGGGGCCGAAACGACCUCAACCUAUUCUCAAACUUUAAAUGGGUGAGAUCUCUGGCUUGCUUGAAAUAUGAAGCCACGAGAGAGAUAUUUCGGAUCAGAGUGCCAAGUGGGCCAAUU